rnacentral:rRNA from 1 species
UACGUAGGUGGCAAGCGUUGUUCGGAAUUAUUGGGCGUAAAGGGCGCGUAGGCGGUUUGUUAAGUCGGCUGUGAAAGCCCGGGGCUCAACCCCGGAGGGUCAGCCGAUACUGGCAGACUAGAGUACGGAAGAGGUAGCUGGAAUUCCCGGUGUAGCGGUGAAAUGCGUAGAUAUCGGGAAGAACACCGGUGGCGAAGGCGGCUCGCUGGGCCGUUGCUGACGCUGAGGCGCGAAAGCGUGGGGAGCAAACAGG